ensembl:snRNA U6 U6 spliceosomal RNA
AUGCUUGCUUUGGCAGCACACAUAUUAAAAUUUGAAUGCUAUGGAGAUUAUCAUGGCCCCUAUGUAAGGAUGACAUGCAAAUUUGCAAAGUCUUUCAUAUUUUA